rnacentral:rRNA from 1 species
GGUGGUGCAUGGCCGUUCUUAGUUGGUGGAGCGAUUUGUCUGGUUUAUUCCGAUAACGAACGAGACUCUGGCCUACUAAAUAGUGACAGGAUUAUUACUGUCCUGGAUACUUCUUAGAGGGACAAGUGGUUUUCAGCCACACGAAAUUGAGCAAUAACAGGUCUGUGAUGCCCUUAGAUGUCCGGGGCUGCACGCGCGCUACACUGAAGGAAUCAGCGUGCUAAAACCAUUGUCGAAAGGCAUUGGUAAACCCAUUAAAAUCCUACGUGAUUGGGAUCGGGAAUUGCAAUUAUUUCCCUUGAACGAGGAAUUCCCAGUAAGUGUGGGUCAUAAGCUCGCGUUGAUUACGUCCCUGCCCUUUGUA